GCCGAAGUGGUGGAAUUGGUAGACACGCUAUCUUGAGGGGGUAGUAAGCAAUGCUUGUGAGGGUUCAAGUCCCUCCUUCGGCACCA
rnacentral:tRNA from 1 species